rnacentral:rRNA from 1 species
AUAUCAAUAAGCGGAGGAAAAGAAACCAACAGGGAUUGCCUUAGUAGCGGCGAGUGAAGCGGCAAGAGCUCAAAUUUGAAAUCUGGUACCUUCGGUGCCCGAGUUGUAAUUUGAAGAAAACUGUCUUGGAUUUGGCCUUUGUCUAUGUUCCUUGGAACAGGACGUCAUAGAGGGUGAGAAUCCCGUGCGAUGGAGUGCCCAUUUCCUUGUAAGACGUUUUCGAAGAGUCGAGUUGUUUGGGAAUGCAGCUCAAAGUGGGUGGUAAAUUCCAUCUAAAGCUAAAUAUUGGCGAGAGACCGAUAGCGAACAAGUACUGUGAAGGAAAGAUGAAAAGAACUUUGAAAAGAGAGUGAAAAAGUACGUGAAAUUGUUGAAAGGGAAGGGUAUUCGAUCAGACUUGGUAUUUAGUUAUCAUUGCUUCUCGUGAGUGGUGCUCUAGCUUUUUACUGGGCCAGCAUCAGUUUUGGUGGUGAGAUAAUGGCAGUUGAAUGUGGCUCCUCGGAGUGUUAUAGCUUCUGUUGAUAUUACCUACUGGGACUGAGGUCUGCGGCUUUGCCUAGGAUGCUGGCGUAAUGAUCCAAUACCGCCCGUCUUGAAACAUGGACCAAGGAGUCUAACGUCUAUGCGAGUGUUUGGGUGUAAAACCCGUACGCGUAAUGAAAGUGAACGUAGAUCAGGGCCCUCUGGGUGCAUGAUCGACCGAUCCUGACGUUUUCUGAUGGAUUUGAGUAAGAGCAUAGCUGUUGGGACCCGAAAGAUGGUGAACUAUGCCUGAAUAGGGUGAAGCCAGAGGAAACUCUGGUGGAGGCUCGUAGCGGUUCUGACGUGCAAAUCGAUCGUCAAAUUUGGGUAUAGGGGCGAAAGACUAAUCGAACCAUCUAGUAGCUGGUUCCUGCC